rnacentral:lncRNA from 1 species
AGAAGCCUCCGGUGUACCUCGCUGGGAACGCACUUCCUGGGACGCUGAGAGGGAGACGCUCCAAGAGGCUCCUCAGUGUGGGCGAGUAAAAUGCCCUGCGUGUGAGAAGCAGGCUCAGAUUAUUGCUACUCUGUAUUCAGAUCUUCAUGUGUCUCUUCUAAGCUGAAUAAAGCUGUUUUGGAACUGUCAGGUACCUCAAAGCGUAAGUACGUCCUUUAAUUAUAUCUUAUUUCCCUCCCUCCUGCUACCACAUCUGCCAACAAUGACUCUUUUUUUUUCUCUUGUUCAACAAAAUAGAGGUAUAGGACAGACCUCUCUUGUGAGUACAAUGACUGAUGACUUACAGUUUCUAAGAAAACCCAAAUUAUAGGUAGAAGGAACUCUCAAUGUUACCAUCAAGAAUUAAGUUAGGGCUGGGCAUGGUGGCUCAGCCCUGUAACCCUAGCGCUUUGAGAGGCUGAGGUGGAAGGAUCCCUUGAGCCCAGGAGUUUGAGACCAUCCUGGGCAACAUAGCGAGAUCCUGACUGUAUGAGAAAAUUUUAAAAAAUUAGCCAGUUGUGGUGGUACAUGCCUAUAGUCCCAGCUACUCUGGAAGCUGAGGUGGGAGGAUUGCUUGAGCCUCGGAGGUCGAGGCUGCAGUGAGCCAUGAUUGCACCACUGUGCUCCAGCCUGGG